GACGAACGCUGGCGGCGUGCUUAACACAUGCAAGUCGAACGAUGAAGCGGUGCUUGCACCGUGGAUUAGUGGCGAACGGGUGAGUAACACGUGAGUAACCUGCCCUGGACUCUGGGAUAACCCCGAGAAAUCGGAGCUAAUACCGGAUAUGACUUCGCACCGCAUGGUGUGGGGUGGAAAGUUUUUUCGGUCUGGGAUGGACUCGCGGCCUAUCAGCUUGUUGGUGAGGUAAUGGCUCACCAAGGCGUCGACGGGUAGCCGGCCUGAGAGGGUGACCGGCCACACUGGGACUGAGACACGGCCCAGACUCCUACGGGAGGCAGCAGUGGGGAAUAUUGCACAAUGGGCGCAAGCCUGAUGCAGCAACGCCGCGUGAGGGAUGACGGCCUUCGGGUUGUAAACCGCUUUUAGUAGGGAAGAAGCCUUCGGGUGACGGUACCUGCAGAAAAAGGACCGGCUAACUACGUGCCAGCCGCCGCAGUAACAC
rnacentral:rRNA from 1 species